UACGGGGGGGGCAAGCGUUGUUCGGAAUUACUAGGCGUAAAGGGUGCGUAGGUGGUUUGAUAAGUUAGCUGUGAAAUUCCUGGGCUUAACCUAGGGUGGUCAGCUAAGACUGUUAGACUUGAGUAUAGGAGAGGGUAGUGGAAUUUCCGGUGUAGCGGUGAAAUGCGUAGAGAUCGGAAGGAACACCAGUGGCGAAGGCGGCUACCUGGCCUGAUACUGACACUGAGGCACGAAAGCGUGGGGAUCAAACAGG
rnacentral:rRNA from 1 species